GAUAAACGCUGGCGGCGCACAUAAGACAUGCAAGUCGAACGAACUUAAUACCUUGCUUGCAAGGUAAGCGGUUAGUGGCGGACUGGUGAGUAACACGUAAGAAAUCUGCCUAUCAGAGGGGAAUAACAGUGAGAAAUCAUUGCUAAUACCACAUAUGCCAUAGGAAUCGCAUGAUUCUAGUGGGAAAGGAGUAAUCCGCUGAUAGAUGAGCUUGCGUCUGAUUAGCUAGUUGGUGGGGUAAAGGCCUACCAAGGCGACGAUCAGUAGCCGGACUGAGAGGUUGAACGGCCACAUUGGGACUGAGAUACGGCCCAGACUCCUACGGGAGGCAGCAGUCGGGAACGUUGCGCAAUGGAGGAAACUCUGACGCAGUGACGCCGCGUAUAGGAAGAAGGUUUUCGGAUUGUAAACUAUUGUCCAUAGGGAAGAUAAAAGACUGUACCUAUGAAGAAAGCUCCGGCUAACUACGUGCCAGCCGCCGCGGUAA
rnacentral:rRNA from 1 species